GAUGAACGCUGGCGGCGUGCCUAAUACAUGCAAGUCGAGCGAACGGACGAGAAGCUUGCUUCUCUGAUGUUAGCGGCGGACGGGUGAGUAACACGUGGAUAACCUACCUAUAAGACUGGGAUAACUUCGGGAAACCGGAGCUAAUACCGGAUGAUAUUUUGAACCGCAUGGUUCAAAAGUGAAAGACGGUCUUGCUGUCACUUAUAGAUGGAUCCGCGCUGCAUUAGCUAGUUGGUAAGGUAACGGCUUACCAAGGCAACGAUGCAUAGCCGAUCUGAGAGGGUGAUCGGCCACACUGGAACUGAGACACGGUCCAGACUCCUACGGGAGGCAGCAGUAGGGAAUCUUCCGCAAUGGGCGAAAGCCUGACGGAGCAACGCCGCGGGAGUGAUGAAGGUCUUCGGAUCGUAAAACUCUGUUAUUAGGGAAGAACAUAUGUGUAAGUAACUGUGCACAUCUUGACGGUACCUAAUCAGAAAGCCACGGCUAACUACGUG
rnacentral:rRNA from 1 species